rnacentral:rRNA from 1 species
UACGUAGGGUGCAAGCGUUGUCCGGAAUUAUUGGGCGUAAAGAGCUCGUAGGCGGUUUGUCACGUCGGAUGUGAAACCCUGAGGCUCAACCUCAGGCCUGCAUUCGAUACGGGCAGACUAGAAUUCGGCAGGGGAGACUGGAAUUCCUGGUGUAGCGGUGAAAUGCGCAGAUAUCAGGAGGAACACCAAUGGCGAAGGCAGCUCGCUGGGACGUGACUGACGCUGAGACGCGAAAGCGUGGGGAGCAAACAGG